CUGAAUUUUAAGUAAGAUAUUCCUAUGCAAAAUUCCAGCUUCAUCUUUGCCACAGUGAAGUUGAAGCCAGUCAGCAGAUUUCAUGCUGUUCAAAAUAACAGGGCAAGAAUCAC
rnacentral:lncRNA from 1 species